rnacentral:rRNA from 1 species
UACGUAGGGCGCAAGCGUUGUCCGGAAUUAUUGGGCGUAAAGAGCUCGUAGGCGGUUUGUCGCGUCUGCUGUGAAAACCUAAGGCUCAACCUUGGGCUUGCAGUGGGUACGGGCAGACUAGAGUGCGGUAGGGGUGACUGGAAUUCCUGGUGUAGCGGUGGAAUGCGCAGAUAUCAGGAGGAACACCGAUGGCGAAGGCAGGUCACUGGGCCGCAACUGACGCUGAGGAGCGAGAGCAUGGGGAGCGAACAGG